rnacentral:rRNA from 1 species
UACUCCUACGGGGGGCAGCAGUGAGGAAUAUUGGUCAAUGGGCGGGAGCCUGAACCAGCCAAGUCGCGUGAAGGAAGAAGGUACUUAGUAUUGUAAACUUCUUUUGUCGGGGAACAAAGGCGGAGACGCGUCUCCGGAUGAGUGUACCCGAAGAAAAAGCAUCGGCUAACUCCGUGCCAGCAGCCGCGGUAAUACGGAAGAUGCGAGCGUUAUCCGGAUUUAUUGGGUUUAAAGGGUGCGCAGGCGGAAUGUCAAGUCAGCGGUAAAAUUUCGGGGCUCAACCCCGUCGUGCCGUUGAAACUGGC